rnacentral:rRNA from 1 species
AGUGAACGCUGGCGGUAGGCCUAACACAUGCAAGUCGAACGGCAGCACAGUAAGAGCUUGCUCUUACGGGUGGCGAGUGGCGGACGGGUGAGGAAUACAUCGGAAUCUACUUUUUCGUGGGGGAUAACGUAGGGAAACAUACGCUAAUACCGCAUACGACCUACGGGUGAAAGCAGGGGAUCUUCGGACCUUGCGCGAUUGAAUGAGCCGAUGUCGGAUUAGCUAGUUGGCGGGGUAAAGGCCCACCAAGGCGACGAUCCAUAGCUGGUCUGAGAGGAUGAUCAGCCACACUGGAACUGAGACACGGUCCAGACUCCUACGGGAGGCAGCAGUGGGGAAUAUUGGACAAUGGGCGCAAGCCUGAUCCAGCCAUACCGCGUGGGUGAAGAAGGCCUUCGGGUUGUAAAGCCCUUUUGUUGGGAAAGAAAAGCAGCAGGUUAAUACCCCGCUGUUCUGACGGUACCCAAAGAAUAAGCACCGGCUAACUUCGUG